rnacentral:tRNA from 1 species
GCCUGAGUGGCUCAGCGGUUGAGCGUCUGCCUUCGGCUCAGGGCAUGAUCCCAGGAUUCGGGAUCGAGUCCCGCAUCGGGCU